rnacentral:lncRNA from 10 species
AGACCCUCCAACGUGCGUUAGAAAGCUUUCAGCUUGGGGUCCCCACAUAGCUGUAAAUUCUCUGCUUGUCGUGCUUCCCAUCUGAGGUCAUAAAAUCCCAGGAUGAAAGCCAGAGCUUUGAUUGAUUGCCAAGCUGAGAUGAUGUGGAAUUCAGUAAGAGAGAAAACAUUCCUUUCCUUGCCCUAAACGUCCAGGGCAGGACAAAUAUUUAUAAGAUUUAGCACUUAACCCAUUUCCAUGGCUCAAGAUGCAUUAUUAUGUCUGUCCCAAGUAAGACCACAUGUUGCUUUGUGACAUUACUAAAUCGUGGGAGCCCUAUGAAGCUGAAGUUUAAGGAGAGACGAUGACCCAUGUCGUUGGUGUGAAAUGAUGUGACCCACUAUAUGUUGCAUGGUCUAGACCCCAAAUCCAAGGCCUAAUUCACCAUUCACCUCCAUUCUGGUUUGCCUGGAAGCUCUCUGCCAAGCAACAGAGCAGGAACGAGGCAGCGUUCCCUGCCUCCACUUCCCAGUCUGUAGAGAAGGAGGCCACAUGUUAUCAUAGCCCACCUGCCUUUGAGUCUCUACACUUUGUUGUUAUUUCAGACAAAUUCUGCAAUAAACAUCUCUGUGCAAAUGGGCUGAGUUGCUGAGUCAAAGAGCAAAAGCGUUCAUCAUUCUAAAAGAUACUGCCAAUUGAGCUCCAAAUAUUAGGCCAAUUUACCCUCCCCCAAUGGUAAAUGAGAGUCCCUUCUUGCACCUCCCCUCGCCAGUUAUGGGAAGGGUUUACCUCUCUACCAAUGGAUGCAUGAAGACUGACUUGACGUCAUUUGAACAAACUAUCCUUAAUCAUGAUUUUAUGGUUUCAUUGUUAAAAGUUACACCGUGAUCCAGUCAGACUUAGUUUUGGUGCAAGGAAUGAAGUAUGCUGAGGUGUUAUCGGAACUUAUAACAUUUACUUCCUGCAGUUGUAAGAGUGUCAAGAAAACUGUGAGUUUUUGAAAGGAAAAAACCAAGAAACUACAGAUUUUCUAUGAUAGAUUUUUUUCCCUUUUAAUCAACUCAGAGAACUCAAUGAACAAUUCCCUCCUGCUAAGAAAAGUCCUGUCUACACGGUACCCUGGGAGGUGCGGGUCACCCGUGUAUGGGACUCAGAGCUGUGCCUGGGCAGGGAUCUCCGCCCACAUGGCACCCAGGGCAUGACAGAGGCCUCAAGACGCCCCCUCCUCAACUCGACGUCCAGCCGUGCCUCAGGGUGCCAUCUGCAGGCUCAGACUGCCACCUGCUGUGUGCACAGGCAAAACAAGCCGAACCAAAACAGGUUUCGCCUAGAACACCUUUGACUAUAGAUAGAAAUCAUCACUACCUCUAAGGUUUUUUUCUGCUUUAAUUUUUUUGCAGUAAGAACACUUAGCAUGGGCUCAACCCUCCUCACGUAACUGUAAGUGUUGACCUCACGGUGCUGUUCGCUCUGGGGACAACGUUGCACAGCAGAUCGCAGAGCGUGUGCACUCGCGUCCCUGACACUCACUCCCACGGAACAGCAGACCCUCUCCUCCCUGCCCCUGCCUGGCUCCCGCCACUCCACGGCUGCCUCUGUGGCUCCGGGGACUCUAGGGGCCUCACGCAAGAGGAAUCACACAGUGUUGGUCUGUUUGUGAUUGGCGCAUUUCAGCAAGCAGAACGUCCUCAAGGUUCACCUCUGCAGGUGACAUGGGUGAGAACGGCCUUCCCUUUUAAGGUCGAAGCAUAUUGCAUUCUCUGUCUGAACGUUUUCUUGAUCUAUUCAUCUGUUGACACAGGUUGAUUCUGUAUCUUGGCCACUGUGAGCAGUCCCACAUUGCACAUGGGAGUGCAGACAUCUUUCUGAGAUCCUGAUUCCCAUUUUUUGGAUAAAUUGGAACCUUUGCACACUGUUGAUGAAGCCACUGUAGGGAGGGCGAUAUGGAGGUUCCUCAAAAAAUUAAAAACAGAGCUAACAAAUGAUCCAGAAACUCCAUUUUUUGUAUUUUGAAACCUACAAUGUGCCAGGCACUGUGGUAAAAACUCUCCCGGCUCCACAGCAACCUCUGUAGGUGGGUUCAAUGGGGACCCAGCUCGGAGUCCUCAGAGACUUUCUGUGAUGCCACAAAACCCUGUAUUUUAACAUUUAACACCAUGUCAAAGGACACAGAGAUCCCAUUCAGAAAUGGAAAUGCUGGGGAGAAAAUCGAUGUUUGAGUGAAUCUUGCCACCAAGAGGAAUAUCACCCUGUGUCAGAUGAGCACGUGCCCCACCCAAGUGUAAGGACAGAUGCGCAGGUAUUAAUUCUCCCAUCAAUUCCUCAUCGCUCAGUUCUGCGUCCAAUCUGCUGUGAGACUGAGAUGUUUUAAAUAUCCUCAGAGAGAGGCUCACAGUCCCAUCAUCUGCUAAUCCCCAGCAAGCCUUCCCUCCUUACGCUGCGAUUAAGUGCACGGUGCUGAUGACAAUGGAAAUGACGUUGGUGACAAAGUCGGCUUCUGUUCAUUGAGUGCUCUCACAACCAGCCGACAUAUACUGUGUCAUUUAAACCUCGUAACAUCCCUAUGAAGGAGGUGGCCCUGUGAUUCUCUUCAUUUUACCAAUGAGGAAACUGCCGUAAAGAAAUUAAGACCUUUACCCUGAGAUACACACAUCUAGGAGUGACCGCAAGAGGUUAGCCAUUUUAAUCAUUCCUUUGCCACAUUUAAUCCUGGACAUCUUAUACUUUCCAUAGAUGUGUGGCUCAGAGAAUAAUGAGGCUUCAAAUAUUAAGCCAAUGAAGAAAUUAUGGAAGAUAUUUUUUCAAAGCAAGGCAAAAAUUACAGAAUGCCCCUCAAAGCCGAAUGUGAAAGGCAUUCUUACUUCUGUUACUUAGGGUGAUUCACGCAUUGUUCUCCUUCAGAAGAGAUAUUUGGAAUUUCGUUCUAGAAUGCUUCCCUAGUCUUCUCCCCAUUUCAAAGCGCAGCACAUAACACGUUUCUUAGUUCCACACCCCCUUCAGUGUGAGAGGUUUAUAGUGCUAUGUCUCAUCUACAUCCGCCACUCCAUCUGGUCAGGAGAAGCCACUGCGUUUGAGGUGAUUUGUUUCAACAGCCGUGGGAAAUGCAUCCAGCAGGGCCAGGUCCGGGUGGGGCUGGGGCCAGCGGCUGCUCCAUGUUCCCCCGGUGAUUCUGAGAUUCCACGUGGAGACUCCAGGGCUGGGAGACCUCUAAGCCUGUGUUAAACUUGUAUGAUCCGUGUCAUUUGGAAAGGAACAUGAUACUCUCGACUUGGAGACGAAAAAGCACCUAUGACAG